ACAGGGGGAGUAACAGUCAGAAAUAGACUGCUAAUACCGCAUAAGACCACAGCACCGCAUGGUGCAGGGGUAAAAACUCCGGUGGUACAGGAUGGACCCGCGUCUGAUUAGCUGGUUGGUGAGGUAACGGCUCACCAAGGCGACGAUCAGUAGCCGGCUUGAGAGAGUGAACGGCCACAUUGGGACUGAGACACGGCCCAAACUCCUACGGGAGGCAGCAUG
rnacentral:rRNA from 1 species